AGGCAGCAGUGGGGAAUAUUGCACAAUGGGGGAAACCCUGAUGCAGCGACGCCGCGUGAGUGAAGAAGUAUUUCGGUAUGUAAAGCUCUAUCAGCAGGAACGAGACAAGACGGUACCUGACUAAGAAGCCCCGGCUAACUACGUGCCAGCAGCCGCGGUAAUACGUAGGGGGCAAGCGUUAUCCGGAAUCACUGGGUGUAAAGGGAGCGUAGACGGCUGUGCAAGCCUGAAGUGAAAGGCGGGGGCCCAACCCCUGGACUGCUUUGGGAACUGUACGGCUGGAGUGCAGGAGAGGUAAGUGGAAUUCCUAGUGUAGCGGUGAAAUGCGUAGAUAUUAGGAGGAACACCAGUGGCGAAGGCGGCUUACUGGACUGUAACUGACGUUGAGGCUCGAAAGCGUGGGGAGCAAACAGGAUUAGAUACCCUGGUAGUCCACGCCGUAAACGAUGAUUACUAGGUGUCGGGGGGCAGAGGCCCUUCG
rnacentral:rRNA from 1 species